rnacentral:lncRNA from 1 species
CUACACAGCAGUCCUGCACACCAGGAUCUAGAGGUGGUACUGAGUCCCCAGCUGAACACAGCAGCACUUGGCCUGACAUGAAAUGGCAAACACCCUAUUAGGGUGUGCACAACGGUAACUUGCAGAACACAUGGAAUUCAUGUUAUUCAGGGCUCCGCUCGUCUGUUAGGUUUAGUUUGGGUCACUGUAAUUCCAAACAGAGGUGGGCAGCAAGCAGAAGUCGUCUAGAAGAAAGGAGCAGGAAAGAUCAGCAGACCAGAAAUCGUGAUCUGUAAGAAAGGGCUGAAAGGGAUGGAGCCAUUUCACCUACCAGAGAUGGCUUCAAAAGAUGUUGCCGUGUAUUCUCUGCAUUCCCUGGACAUAUCAGAAAUUCUUUAUCAUAGCAUCACUUGGGCUUUAGCAGGCCCGAUAGGAAGGACACGUCUGCAGUUCCUUGUAAGCCGGACAGACUUGUGCUCUCUCUCACAGAGCUGACUCUUCACCAGCCAAAGAGCCAGUACCAGGCUGAGGCUUGAGAAGCGUACGGGACAUGCUGUAGUGCAGCAAUUUUCGAUUCUCAGCAAAAAGAAGCAGCUUGGUUUGCUCUAUUUUAAGUGCAGCAGACAAAACUGCCUCUUUGAGUAAGCUUUCAGCUCAGGAGAGGACCAGUGAUAAAAGAGCCACACUAAAAAUAAGUAAGUCACAAGGAAAGUGUGAAUUUUCUGCAAGCAAAUUUCUUCUUCAUAAAUGCAAAGUGCCAGGUGUCAUCUAGCACUUGGAAGUGGAAGGUUUGACUUGCUACAGCCAAGGAACAAAGGCCUUUCCAGUUGUGACUGCAGAAAACAGAGGUACAACACUUGCUUUCAGAGAUGGAUGGGAGACUGGCAUGCAGCCCCAAGGACUUCAGUGCACCCAGGAGUUACAUAUGGCAUGCAGUCAACAACAACUGAAAUCAGAAAGGCCCAUUUAAAAUACUAAAUGUGGGGGCAGAGAGAAAAGAGAGAAUACGUCAUAGCUUUCCCAGGCCCUAGACAAAAGGAGCCAGGACGCAAGCACAUCAAACACAAGUGCUAGGCUGUCGUGGUUUGCAGCGCACAGCAUGGAUGGCCACAGCGGAGGUGAGAAGGUUCUGCAUGGAGAUGGGAGCAUCAACCUCAGACUUUCAUUAGGUAUUUAUAUUUUUUAUUAUAUGCCUCAGAACACAUGAAGGAGCUUGCCACAGUUGAGGAGGAGUCCCUUCUGGCCGAGGAAAGAAAAC